rnacentral:lncRNA from 13 species
GUUACUUUGCAGUAUAUUGUGCAUUCAUCUUGCGUUUAUCUAGUCUCUCACUUUCUCUCUCUCUCUCUGUUUCACUAAGAUAAUAGAAAUAAAUUAAACCAAUGAAUCAGUUUUGCCUCUCACAAAGACUGUGAUGCUAACUAAAUCAAGAAAAAGACUAAAAGAAAAUGACCCUUUCUUAGUUUUCUCUGGUAGUUUCAAUUAUUUAAGGUGUAGAAAUCAUCAUGAUGGUUGAGUUUCAGUAAAGACUUAACAGUACUCUGCAGAAAUAAGUCAAUUUCUUCUGAGCAACAAUAAUGCAUUCACUGGAGAAACUGUGAACAUUAUUUUUUUUCAUUUAGAAAAAGAUGUUCCUUCAAGACCUAAAUGAUUAGGAUAUCACUCAGCCACAAUGAAGUGUUAUGUCCUUGAGUCUUUAUACAAGGAUACUUUCUACUUCAAGUCACUGCCACUGCUGGAAAUGCAGGAAUAUCCCAGAUGGCUGAUAGACACAGUGAGAAGGAACAUCUGUUACUGAGAAAUUAGGACAUCAGGAAGACUGGCACACUCUGACUAGAACUUCAGAGGGAAGGCUUUGUGAAUGGAUGAUGCUACAGUCGAUGACAGUCUACUUGCUGGUGUUGACGAUUAUGAAGGGCAGAUGGAUGUUUGAGUUGGGCAGUAGCAGCCAGCUAGCCUACUCCUCAGCGUGUCGAUUUCUCUGCAUCAGGUUCUUGAAGACAAUUUGCUAUAGAAUAAGUUCUUGAAGUCGAGACUGUUUGUGUUUUAUACUUUCAAGUCUACUCUGUCUUUCCACCUCUAAGUUCUGACAUUCCUGAGCCGAGGUGGUGGACAGACUAAUCAAUCUGAUCUCCUUCUUCUUGGAGAUGAUGUUCAUGGCCAUCAGCACAUUUAAAGUAUUGUAGACAUGCUGUCUUAUGUUCUCCUGGUCAUAAGAUGACUCCUUUGGUAAGAUGUGGUUGUCGGCAGCGCUGAACUCCGUGACCAGCUCAUCCGCCACUUCGUUGUAGGAAAUGGUCCGUUUCCUCUGUACCUUGUAGAACUUCAUGGAGAAAUGCUGCAGGCCCUUGCCUUUCUUCUCUCCUUUCCUGUUGUGCUUGCCGGCAGACCAAGGUGAGGAGUCCGAAGACUGGUUCUGAGAGGCAAAUGAGUACUUGGGGUGUGUGGGCGUCCUGCCACGAGGGUGUUUGAUGCUGCCGGUCUCUGAAGAGUACCAACUACCACAUGCUGAGCAAUGUUGACAUUGGACUCUUCAAAGUUUUUUGGCAAGAGCUGCUUCCCGAGCAGGUUGACUGUGAAGGGGU